UACGAAGGGGGCUAGCGUUGCUCGGAAUUACUGGGCGUAAAGCGCACGUAGGCGGCUUUCUAAGUCGGGGGUGAAAUCCUGGAGCUCAACUCCAGAACUGCCUUCGAUACUGGAAAGCUCGAGUCCGGGAGAGGUGAGUGGAACUGCGAGUGUAGAGGUGAAAUUCGUAGAUAUCGCAAGAACACCAGUGGCGAAGGCGGCUCACUGGCCCGGUACUGACGCUGAGGGUGCGAAAGCGUGGGGAGCAAACAGG
rnacentral:rRNA from 1 species